rnacentral:rRNA from 1 species
AUUGAACGCUGGCGGCAGGCCUAACACAUGCAAGUCGAGCGAGCGGCGGACGGGAGGCUAAUGUAUGGGGAUCUGCCCGGUAGAGAGGGAUCACUACUGGAAACUAUUGCUAAUACCGCAUACUAUCGGCUGAACCCAUAUGGGAUUAGCUAGUGGGUGGGGUAAAGGCUCACCAAGGCGACGAUCUCUAGCUGGUCUGAGAGGAUGAUCAGCCACACUGGGACUGAGACACGGCCCAGACUCCUACGGGAGGCAGCAGUGGGGAAUAUUGCACAAUGGGCGCAAGCCUGAUGCAGCCAUGCCGCGUGUAUGAAGAAGGCCUUAGGGUUGUAAAGUACUUUCAGCGGGGAGGCGUUACCCGCAGAAGAAGCACCGGCUAACUCCGUGCCAGCAGCCGCGGUAAUAC